UACAGAGGGUGCAAGCGUUGUUCGGAAUUAUUGGGCGUAAAGCGCGUGUAGGCGGCUUUGCAAGUCGGGUGUGAAAGCCCUCAGCUCAACUGAGGAAGUGCACUCGAAACUUCCGAGCUGGAGUUCUGGAGAGGAAGGCGGAAUUCUCGGUGUAGAGGUGAAAUUCGUAGAUAUCGAGAGGAACACCGGUGGCGAAGGCGGCCUUCUGGACAGCAACUGACGCUGAGACGCGAAAGCGUGGGGAGCAAACAGG
rnacentral:rRNA from 1 species